rnacentral:lncRNA from 1 species
CCCGGAAGUGGUGGGAAAACUGCCAACCCACUGAAGAGAGAGACAGACCUUAAUACCAAAAGUGACAAUAAUUCAACACUGUUUUACUCAUAUACAUUGUAAUCUGAACUAUGAGUUUUGGCAAGUCUACACCUCUUGUGCUCAUGAACAUUAAACCUAGGGAACUGAUGAUUUUAUUUUACUUUAUUGUAGUAAGAAAACUCAACAUGAGGCUGACCCUCUUAGCAGAUCACAUGUGCGUUAGACCAUCAUUCUCUAUUGGCACAACAUUGUACAAGGGCUCUUUACAAUUCAUUCAUCACGCAUAACUGAAGUUUUAUACCUGUCCAUUAGUAACCCUCCUUUCACCUGUCCCCAGUCCCUGGCAACUAAAUGAGGCUUUAGGCAGAUAUCUAGAUACAAGCAACACAACAAUAUUUUUUUUCUCACACCUUGAAUAGACCCUCAGGAAACAGGACUCCAGAGCUGCUACAGAAACUGACAAGGAUGAUAGGAUGAGUGUGUUCAAAAUGGGGGUGGGAUAAAGAAGGAUUAAGGGCAUUGCAUGUUUUGCUGUAAUCGUUUUUUAAAUGUAAACCUUCACUGUAUAUUUUUAUCACAUCUCAUGUGCUAGGUACCUCACAUUUGAAAGAGGUAGGAUCAUUUAUUCACAGCAUUUGCUAAUAAUGUUAUGUGCACGCUACACAAAGCUCUUUUGGUUUCAUCGUGUCCCCUUACCUCCCAGCAGCUAUGAAGUGUGCAAAUUAUUGGGAAUGAAGUCAAAUGACAGUGCCAGCUCAAGGCCCCAUGAGCGACAGCUUGGACCAUACUGCAGUGCUUUCUGGGGAGCCUAAGAGAAGUUCUGCAAUGAAGAGGUCAUUGUCUCUCUGCUUCCUGGCUGGAGCUAUGACCACACUCUCUGAUCCAUCCUUCUGCUGUGAUGUGCUGCCUUCACCAGAGGUCCAAACAAAUGCGGACUUCAGAUCUUGGACUUAACCAUCCUGAACCAUGAGCCAAAACAAAUCCUCUGUACUUCAUAAAGAGCUUGUAUUAGGUAUUUUACUAAAAUGAUGGAAAGCUGAACAAUACUGUGUUUCUUUUUAAAGACUGCUAAAAGCAAGUCACCAGCUCUCAGCAAAGAUUCCUAAACUUAAAAUACUAACAAUACUAAAAUUUCUGGUGCCCAAGAUGAAGUCCUAUGUGGUUGUCAUCUUGAGAACCCUCAAUAAAUACUGCAGAAAGUAAUUAUUAUUAAGGACAAGACCGUGCUUGAUGUAAGAUGGUACUAUACUUGCAAGCUAGCAAGAUUUACACAUAUGAUAUAUGCAUAUAUGUGCACAUACAUAUUAGAGAGAGCUUUUACAACUCUGAAAUACAUAAAAGUCCACUCAUGGGAAAAGAGGUGAAGUCUCUAACUUGGAACAUGGGCAAUUUUCUCUGAGGUAGAUGAAAAUACAUCUUUACCCUUUAUCUCUUUGUUGCCCUUAGAAUGGGAACAAAUGGAUCCAAAUAAAAGGAGACUUGCUCUCUUUUUCUCAUGAGUCAGUUUCCAUUGCUCAGGUGGUUUUUCUGCUGAUCAAACAGAAACAUCAAAAAAAAAAAAUCAGGGACAGGACCAGGGAUUUAGCUCAGUAGUUCCGCCGCCUGCUUUGCAAGCACAAGGACCCGAGUUCAAUCCCUGGUACCAAAAAAAAAGCAAACAAACAAAAAAUCAGGGACAAUGGUGUUCCACCUUAAAUUAGCCAAAAAAGGAAUUACAACCCCAAGAACGUCUUUGGAUCGGGUGAUAUAACGUCAUCUGCUCACCUUUUCCAGCCUAAAAAAUUAUGAAUUUAUUGAUGCAGAGGAGUCCUCCUUCCAUAUGAUCUUCAGGACAAGUCCCCUUCUGUUGUUUCUCCACAAAGGAAGAGGAGGGGGCAGGGAACUUCCUCCAUGUGCACCUUUUAGAGUAGCAGUGCCCAACUUUUCUGGCACCAGGUACUCAUUUUUCCAUGGAUUGUAGGGGGAUGGUGUCCGGGAAGAUUCAAAGAAGUGGCAACCAAGACCCCUCAUAUGCGCAGUUCACAGUAGGUUUGUGUUCCUAUGAGAAUCUCAUGCCCCUCUGAUCUGACAGGAGGCAGAGUUCAAGUGGUGAUGCAGCUGCAAACAUGGAGGAAGCUAAGCUAGUCAGCUACUCAUCCACUGCUGUGUUGGAUGUGGUUCCUAACAGGUCAUGGACUGGUACCAUGUGGUAGUUCCAGGGCCUAGGGACCCCUCCUCUAGAACUUGGGGCUGUCCCUUGCCUCACCGGAUUGCUGAGAUGGAAGGAAACUCAGCCUGGUUCCAGUAGUCAGCCACGCUAGUCCUCAACAUCAAACCCCCUUUGAUCCCUGUUCCAGCACAGCCUGACUUGCCUGUAACAAAGCCAACCUCAGUAUUUAUGGUAAAUCAUGAUUCCAUAGUCACCAUCUUAUUCGUUACUCAUAACACUCCUAUGAAACUGGUAGAUCAGGGGCUACAAUCAUCCCUCUUCCAUAGAUUAAAAACAAAAUGUGGCUCCAAAAAAUAUGACAGGCCACACAGGUGAAUAGGAUUCAAGUCCUCUUCCCAUGUGCAGAUUCUGGGAGUUUUAUGCUGACAUAACCCUGCCUUCUCAUACAACUAAGCCUGAUACAACCAAAAUUUAUUAAAGUCUGGUAAACAACUGUGGCUUCUUCUUGUUCCUUUCAAAUCAUUAAAUAACAAAUAUGAUUAUUUUCCAAUGCACUGACUUGUUAUUUAUUGGUGUUGGGCUAUUUUUUGAAGAAUUUUAAACUUAAAUUAUACAAUAACUUUGGUAUUAUGAGGGC